UGGCCGAUAGCUCAGACGGCAGAGCAGUGGAUUCUUAAUCCAAAGCGCGUCGGUUCGAAACCGACUCGGCCAACCA
rnacentral:tRNA from 1 species